AUUGAACGCUGGCGGCAGGCUUAACACAUGCAAGUCGAACGAGUGGCGGACGGGUGAGUAAUGUCUGGGAAACUGCCCGAUGGAGGGGGAUAACUACUGGAAACGGUAGCUAAUACCGCAUACCAUCAGAUGUGCCCAGAUGGGAUUAGGUAGUGGGUGGGGGAAUGGCUCACCUGGGCGCCGAUCCCUAGCUGGUAUGAGAGGAUGACCAGCCACACUGGAACUGUGACACGGUCCAGACUCCUACGGGAGGCAGCAGUGGGGAAUAUUGCACAAUGGGGGCAAGCCUGAGGCAGCCAUGCCGCGUGAGUGAAGAAGGCCUUCGGGUUGUAAAGCUCUUUCAGUGAGGAGGGGUUACCCGCAGAAGAAGCACCGGCUAACUCCGUGCCAGCAGCCGCGGUAAUUC
rnacentral:rRNA from 1 species